CCUUUGGUUACAUCUUCUGACAUCAGACUCGGACUUCUCUUGAACUGAAUUUUAAUGUGCGUAUUGUUAUGCGUUUACUUUUCUACAUUGACUAGAGGUAUAGGGGGAGGGUUGAGAUCUCAAAAACAUGUUUAACCCCGCCGCAUUUUUGCGCCUGUCCCAAGUCAGGAGCCUCUGGCCUUUGUUAGUCUUGUAUUAUUUUAAUUUUAGUUUCUUGUGUACAAUUUGGAAAUUAGUAUGGCGUUCAUUAUCACUGAACUAGUAUAUAUUUGUUUAGGG
rnacentral:lncRNA from 1 species